GUAGGUGGCAAGCGUUGUCCGGAAUUAUUGGGCGUAAAGCGCGCGCAGGCGGUUCGUUUAAGUCUGAUGUGAAAGCCCACGGGCUCAACCGUGGAGGGUCAUUGGAAACUGGAGAACUUGAGUACAGAAGAGGGAAGCGGAAUUCCACGUGUAGCGGUGAAAUGCGUAGAGAUGUGGAGGAACACCAGUGGCGAAGGCGGCUUUCUGGUCUGUAACUGACGCUGAGGCGCGAAAGCGUGGGGAGCAAACAGGAUUAGAUACCCUGGUAGUCCACGCCGUAAACGAUGAGUGCUAAGUGUUAGGGGGUUUCCGCCCCUUAGUGCUGCAGCUAACGCAUUAAGCACUCCGCCUGGGGAGUACGGCCGCAAAGGCUG
rnacentral:rRNA from 1 species